rnacentral:rRNA from 1 species
UGAGGAAUAUUGGGCAAUGCCCGCAAGGGUGACCCAGCAACGCCGCGUGGAGGAUGAAUGUCGUAAGAUUGUAAACUCCUGUUAGAGGGGAGGAAUAGUACCGGUUGGACCGGUAUAUGACUGUACCCUCAGAGAAAGCCCCGGCUAACUACGUGCCAGCAGCCGCGGUAAUACGUAGGGGGCAAGCGUUGUCCGGAUUUACUGGGUGUAAAGGGCGCGCAGGCGGGAUAAAAAGUCAGUGGUGAAAUCCUACAGCUUAACUGUAGAACUGCCUUUGAUACUUUUAUUCUUGAGUUCGGGAGAGAGAGACGGAAUUCCAGGUGUAGUGGUGAAAUACGUAGAUAUCUGGAAGAACACCAGUUGCGAAGGCGGUCUCUUGGUCCGACACUGACGCUGAGGCGCGAAAGCGUGGGGAGCAAACA